GUCCGUCGUGUUCAAUACCUACCCUGUAGAACCAAAGGGGUCAAUUGACCCCUCCGAACUAGUUCUGCGCUGUUUACCGCGCAACUAGCUACGCAACUAGUUACGCGGGAAGCGAACGCAGACCAGGUCUUCGUCGACUACAAUGUACUAGUUCUGCAACUAGUUACGCGGGAAGCGAACGCGGACCAGUCGAAAAAGAACCGAAAAACGAAGCCGCCUUCGGUUUGUUUUUGAAGGCGGCAAAUAACCGCAAUUCCGUGAAGUUACAGUGCCCACUCAGCUAGUUUUUACCGAGCCACGACAUGCAAUGAGCACCGAAAUGGUAAGUUAAUCGUGAUAUUUUACUGUAGUUGCGAUCGUGGAAUGAAAGAGACAAGAAUUUACACAAACAAAAUGCAUUUGUUUUCCUCGUUUGCUUUAUGCGUUGAUUUUGUUCACAUCUGUACAAGAUCUAAUCGCUGGAAGAGUCUUUUGUGUGAACAUUUAUUAAAAAAGUGGAAAAGAUUUAAUAAAUAAAUCAAAUUAAUAUAAACAGGUACGUGCAAAUACUUUUAGAAACUCUAAAACAGGAGAAUGCAGUUAUUCGUGGUAAGACUAAUAAAGAUUAACAGAAAAAUAUUUGUAUAAUCAAAUUAAUUAACAACAUUGUUUUUAGAUCAAUUGAAUGCAGUGGUCCAAAUUUUAGCGGAUCAAACUGUUUUAAUAAAGCAGCUGGUAAAGGAGAAGGGGGAAUUGAAUCCCAUUCGGGGACAGUUCCCUAUAAAACGUGAGGAAGAACUUAUAGAACUGGAAGAAAAAAUAAAAUUAAAUAGGGACAUUUAUAUAACAGCAAUGAAAUCAAUUCUCCAGUGCCAAAAACCAGGAGUAGGCUAAGCAUCAUAUAAUUAAAAAUUAUUCGUUAUAAUGAAA